rnacentral:rRNA from 1 species
GCCAGGGAAUUACGAGCCCAAGCUUAAAACCCAAAGGACUUGACGGUGUCCCAUCCCCCUAGAGGAGCCUGUUCUAUAAUCGAUAUCCCCCGCUAUACCUCACCGCCCCUUGCACACUCAGCCUGUAUACCUCCGUCGCAAGCUUACUAUGUGAGUAUUCCUCAGUCAGCCUAAAGGUCUAACACCAACACGUCAGGUCAAGGUGCAGCCCAUGAGACGGAAAGAAAUGGGCUACAAUUUCUACCCUAGAACAAACGAAAGACUGCAUGAAACACAGUCAUUGAAGGCGGAUUUAGCAGUAAAAAGAAAAUAGAGAGUUCUUUUUAACUGGGCACUGGGACGCGUACACACCGCCCGUCACCCUCUUUGAACACCCAUAAACGUCAUUAACACUAUAUAACUACAAAAAAGAGGCAAGUCGUAACAUGGUAAGCGUACUGGAAAGUGCUCUUGGAACAAAAUGUAGCUUAACUAAAGCAUCCUGCUUACACCAAGAACAUGCCUGUGAAACUCGGACCAUUUUGAGCUCAAAACCUAGCCCCUCCUACCCCAAUGAACCAACCUCUUACAACAUAAAUAAUAAAACAUUUUUUUACUUAGUAAAGGCGAUCAAAAAGUACUUAAGAG